rnacentral:rRNA from 1 species
UACGAAGGGGGCUAGCGUUGCUCGGAAUCACUGGGCGUAAAGCGCACGUAGGCGGAUUGUUAAGUCAGGGGUGAAAUCCUGGAGCUCAACUCCAGAACUGCCUUUGAUACUGGCGAUCUUGAGUCCGGGAGAGGUGAGUGGAACUGCGAGUGUAGAGGUGAAAUUCGUAGAUAUUCGCAAGAACACCAGAGGCGAAGGCGGCUCACUGGCCCGGUACUGACGCUGAGGUGCGAAAGCGUGGGGAGCAAACAGG